rnacentral:rRNA from 1 species
AGUGAACGCUGGCGGUCGGCCUAACACAUGCAAGUCGAACGGCAGCACAGUAAGAGCUUGCUCUUACGGGUGGCGAGUGGCGGACAGGUGAGGAAUACAUCGGAAUCUACUUUUUCGUGGGGGAUAACGUAGGGAAACUUACGCUAAUACCGCAUACGACCUACGGGUGAAAGCAGGGGAUCUUCGGACCUUGCGCGAUUGAAUGAGCCGAUGUCGGAUUAGCUAGUUGGCGGGGUAAAGGCCCACCAAGGCGACGAUCCGUAGCUGGUCUGAGAGGAUGAUCAGCCACACUGGAACUGAGACACGGUCCAGACUCCUACGGGAGGCAGCAGUGGGGAAUAUUGGACAAUGGGCGCAAGCCUGAUCCAGCCAUACCGCGUGGGUGAAGAAGGCCUUCGGGUUGUAAAGCCCUUUUGUUGGGAAAGAAAAGCAGCAGGUUAAUACCCCGCUGUUCUGACGGUACCCAAAGAAUAAGCACCGGCUAACUUCGUG